GCGUCGGUUGGGCAUUGGCAGGCCUCGGUGGCUGUAACCCACUCGUCCGUAUCGGACAUUGCAGGUUCAACUCCUGCCCGGCGCA
rnacentral:tRNA from 1 species